rnacentral:snRNA from 1 species
AACCCAAACAAAAAUCAUUAAAC